rnacentral:lncRNA from 1 species
UUUUUUUUUUUUAAUCAGAUCUUUGGAAAACAGGAGAUGUACCUCUACUGUGUUGUGUUGCAAGAGAAACUGAAGGAUCUGAGAAAAUGAUAGGUGAGAACCCCUGAACAGGAGAUGGGGAGAUCCAUCUGGGUAGUCCCAGUCCUGUUAGCAAGGCUGGCUUGGUAAGAAAAUGAAACAAGAGCUUUCUAUCUUGGCUCCAACCCUGGCAAGCAUCCAUCAUACACCCUGCCACCCAGCUGACUUACAAUGCAUGGAGAAGGGGAACGUGUCGUAAUCCAACUCAUCUGCAUUGAUCUAAUCAGCCAAAACAGACCCUGGAAGCUUUCCCCCCCACCCCCACUCUUGCUUUCAAUGCCUAGGCCACAGCUCUGCUCCUAUAAAAUAUGACAUAGAACUAUGCCCUGCUCUCCCUGACCACUCAACUGUGGCCAACAAUGGUAGACUCUAGCUAGUCUCCAUAAGCUAAGCUUCUUGCCUAAAGUGUUUUUGGAAAGGAACUUUUAGAAAUAGUAUUCCUGAUUUUAAAAAAAAAAUCAUUUAACUUUCCUUAGAAGAACAUCAUGCUCACUGAUAGUAAUCUCCUGGACACCACUGUUUACUGAAUUAUAGUUACCAUAUUUUAAGAUCUACUACUCUGUUUUACAUAGAAUUAGAACAAGACAAGACACCAAAUGCCUCUUGAGAUCAAGUGUUCUUUUGAGUGGCACAAUUUGAUCUCCAUUAAUGGCGAAGACUUCUAAGCAAGCUAUAUCAAGACAAUGUUUCUCCAGCGUCUAAAAGGUCCCCAGUUAACUAAGGCACAAGAAGAGGAACAUUCAGCCUCCACACGAACAUGGAAUUCUAAUGCCACCAUCACCAGUUCAGGCUUUCAGAAUUAAGUGUCUCGAAAUAGUCUAAUAAUCCUUGCGACAAAUGUUUACAUGUCCUGGUGAGGACAAGCCCAUUAUGAUGUUUCCAUGAAGUUUUGUUCAGUUUUUUUCCACACUGGCUAAUGUGGGAUCAUUUGUUUGUCUAUAUGUGUAUCUAUGGUUCAUUUAUGUUGGUUGUAUACUGACUUGGAGAAUAUUCCUUUAGAACUUGGGUUCAAACCUCUAACACAGUCCACUCAGUUAUCAAGUUGAUAAACAAAUAAGCACCCUGCCCAUUUGUCUAGCUGCUCAGGAAAUAUGAAAAGAGCCAAUGCUAUAGUGGAAACAAUCUAAUGAGACCUGGCUCCUCCCUACUUUCCUCUGUCCUCCUCUAUCCUCUAGAGACUUGUACCUAUCACAGAAGUUUUCUUUAUACUGUGUCUGAAGAUAUCAGGUCAUACAUAACUAACCAACAAGCUUAUGCUGGUCAAGGGCUAGCCAAUAAAAUUCUUUUCAGAAAAGAUCCCACAUAUGCACCACACCAUUCUGGACCAUGCCCCUAUGGUUGUCCUCUAGAUACCACCUUCUUUUCCAUUUUCACCAGGAUUCCCAUGGAAACUUGAAGAAAUACAUUGCCCAGAGAUGCUAUAGAGUUUCAUGGUCUCAGUUAGGGGCUUGAUGUAAUGUAUUUGAAGAGAUCAGGACUUGAAUUUCAUUCCAACCUUUGAAAAAGGUCAAGAGCUCCAUUUUCUCCAUGCACAUACUUGCCACCAUUCUUUCCAGCUGUAGAAGAGCACAAAAAGAUACCUUUGUUCAUUCCUCCAAGCUAGGGAACCUUGUCUUGUUUUGUAUACUCCGAAAGGAGGCAAAAGGAAGUAAAGGAGGCAAGACCCAAGGACCUUUUGUAAAUCAUGGCACUGGUUGGGAGUUGGGUCCAUAGACCUCUCAGUGUUCCUAAGCCCUGAUGUCUGGUGGUGGGAGGGUUAGGGGAGGAAUUGGGAAGAUGCCAACCUUUGUAUGGAAAUUAUUUUAUAACCAUGCACUUUUGUAACUGUGAAGAAUUUUUCAUAAACGCACAUUAAUAAUAAAAAAGUGUAUAGU